AGGGUUUGAUUCUGGCUCAGGAUGAACGCUGGCGGCGUGCUUAACACAUGCAAGUCGAACGAAGCACUUUAUUACGAUUUCUUCGGAAUGACGAUUUAGUGACUGAGUGGCGGACGGGUGAGUAACGCGUGGGUAACCUGCCUCAUACAGGGGGAUAACAGUUGGAAACGACUGCUAAUACCGCAUAAGCGCACGGUAUCGCAUGAUACAGUGUGAAAAACUCCGGUGGUAUGAGAUGGACCCGCGUCUGAUUAGCUAGUUGGCGAGGUAACGGCCCACCAAGGCAACGAUCAGUAGCCGACCUGAGAGGGUGACCGGCCACAUUGGGACUGAGACACGGCCCAA
rnacentral:rRNA from 1 species